CAUUGGACAAUCUCUAGAAACAGAGGGGGCAGAAUUUUCACACUUCCAGAACCCAUCCUCAGAGACAGUCGGUGACACCAAUUCACCACCCCAACUAUCAUAAAAAACAAUAGGUGAUAAAGAUGAUGAGGAUGGUGAUGAUGAAUUUGAAUUUACCUUCACCACUUUAUCUCCCUCAGAAUCAUUAGCAUCAACAUUUUUCUUCUUGGCUGCAAUCUUUUUGGCCCUCUCUCUUUUCACUUUUUGGCAAAUAGCUUGAAUCUUGGCGUCCACUGAAUUCUUCAAAGCAUUCAAUCUAUUGCAAUCUGUGAAUCCCAACUUGCUGGGAUCCUUGACAUUUGGGAAAUUCAAUCGCGCAUAUUCGC
rnacentral:misc_RNA from 1 species